GACGAACGCUGGCGGCGUGCUUAACACAUGCAAGUCGAGCGGAAAGGCCCUUUCGGGGGUCCUCGAGCGGCGAACGGGUGAGUAACACGUGAGUAAUCUGCCCUUCACUUGGGGAUAACCUCCGGAAACGGUGGCUAAUACCCGAUACGACCAUUCCUCGCAUGAGGUGGUGGUGGAAAGUUUUUCGGUGGGGGAUGUGCUCGCGGCCUAUCAGCUUGUUGGUGGGGUAAUGGCCUACCAAGGCUUCGACGGGUAGCCGGCCUGAGAGGGUGACCGGCCACACUGGGACUGAGACACGGCCCAGACUCCUACGGGAGGCAGCAGUGGGGAAUAUUGGACAAUGGGCGGAAGCCUGAUCCAGCAACGCCGCGUGAGGGAUGACGGCCUUCGGGUUGUAAACCUCUUUCACCUGUGACGAAGCGAAAGUGACGGUAGCAGGAGAAGAAGCACCGGCCAACUACGUG
rnacentral:rRNA from 1 species